CUAAGCGUACACGGUGGAUGCCCUGGCAGUCAGAGGCGAUGAAGGACGUGCUAAUCUGCGAUAAGCGCCGGUAAGGUGAUAUGAACCGUUAUAACCGGCGAUUUCCGAAUGGGGAAACCCAGUGUGAUUCGUCACACUAUCAUUAACUGAAUCCAUAGGUUAAUGAGGCGAACCGGGGGAACUGAAACAUCUAAGUACCCCGAGGAAAAGAAAUCAACCAAGAUUCCCCCA
rnacentral:rRNA from 1 species